AUGGAGCACGGCCAGGCGACGACUAACCGCGUCGACGAGUACGGCAACCCGGUGGCCGGACAUGGCGUCGGCACCGGCGCCGGCGCGGCUCACAAGACCGGAGGGAUCCUGCAGCGCUCCGGCAGCUCUAGUAGCUCCAGCUCGUCUGAGGAUGAUGGCAUGGGUGGGAGGAGGAAGAAGGGCAUCAAGCAGAAGAUAAAGGAGAAGCUCCCUGGUGACCACGGUGACCAGCAGCAGACCGCUGGCACCUACGGCCAGCAGGGACACACCGGAAUGACCGGCACUGGGGCGCAUGGCACCACGGCCACUGGCGGCACCUACGGCCAGCAGGGACACGCCGGAAUGACCGGCACUGGGACGCACGGCACCGAUGGCACCGGCGAGAAGAAAGGCAUCAUGGACAAGAUCAAGGAGAAGCUUCCCGGACAGCACUGA
rnacentral:rRNA from 1 species